GACGAACGCUGGCGGCGUGCUUAACACAUGCAAGUCGAACGGAAAGGCCUCUUUCGGGGGGUACUCGAGUGGCGAACGGGUGAGUAACACGUGAGUAACCUGCCCUUGACUUUGGGAUAACUUCAGGAAACUGGGGCUAAUACCGGAUAGGAGCUCCUGCUGCAUGGUGGGGGUUGGAAAGUUUCGGCGGUUGGGGAUGGACUCGCGGCUUAUCAGCUUGUUGGUGGGGUAGUGGCUUACCAAGGCUUUGACGGGUAGCCGGCCUGAGAGGGUGACCGGCCACAUUGGGACUGAGAUACGGCCCAGACUCCUACGGGAGGCAGCAGUGGGGAAUAUUGCACAAUGGGUGGAAGCCUGAUGCAGCAACGCCGUGUGCGGGAUGACGGCCUUAGGGUUGUAAACCGCUUUCGCUCAUGACGAAGCUUUGUGUGACGGUAGUGGGUAAAGAAGCACCGGCUAACUACGUG
rnacentral:rRNA from 1 species